rnacentral:lncRNA from 1 species
CAUGGGAGGGACUUGAUCAUACAGAGGUAUGAUCGAAGCAGCUGGAGAGUUGGACUGCUCCAGAGCUCAUAUUCGCUUAAGGGAGCCCGACAAGUCAGAGGACAAGGUCGAGUAAGCGAACACUGCUACCAAGAAAGCUAAGGAGAACAGAAUCGGUGCAAACCCUACAAUGUGAUGGCAGAGGCCAUGCAAGGGAGUUGCAGUCUGUCUUUCCAUCGACUAAAGGGAGCUGGUUGGAUAACACAAAGGAAUUGAAGCAGGGGGUCGAAAGGGGCGAGGAAGCGACGACGAG